CUGUGGGUGAUGAGUGACCUUCCCUCAGAAGUCCCAGCAUUUUUCAUCUUUCAAUCUCACCUCCUUUUCCUGAUAAUAGAGAGGCAACAAGAACUCAGGGCAUGCAAUGGGGCUCAACUUCUACUCUCUGCCACAAUUUCAUCAUGAUUCCCCCAAAGAGCAGAGCCCCAGGAGCCAGCAGGGGGCAGGGUGGGCAUUUCUGGACUGGAUUCAUUCAUAAUAAGAUCAAAAUUUCCAAUCCG
rnacentral:lncRNA from 1 species